GGGCGGUUCAGUGGAUGCCCUGGCAGUCAGAGGCGAUGAAGGACGUGCUAAUCUGCGAUAAGCGUCGGUAAGGUGAUAUGAACCGUUAUAACCGGCGAUUUCCGAAUGGGGAAACCCAGUGUGAUUCGUCACACUAU
rnacentral:rRNA from 1 species